UUUUAAUAGCUUAAGUAGAGCAUGAUAUUGAAGAUGUCAGGGUGGUUUUUAACCUUAGAAUAU
rnacentral:tRNA from 1 species